AAUCCAUAGGUUAAUGAGGCGAACCGGGGGAACUGAAACAUCUAAGUACCCCGAGGAAAAGAAAUCAACCGAGAUUCCCCCAGUAGCGGCGAGCGAACGGGGAGGAGCCCAGAGCCUGAAUCAGCAUGUGUGUUAGUGGAAGCGUCUGGAAAGGCGCGCGAUACAGGGUGACAGCCCCGUACACAAAAGCGCAUGUGCUGUGAGCUCGAUGAGUAGGGCGGGACACGUGGUAUCCUGUCUGAAUAUGGGGGGACCAUCCUCCAAGGCUAAAUACUCCUGACUGACCGAUAGUGAACCAGUACCGUGAGGGAAAGGCGAAAAGAACCCCGGCGAGGGGAGUGAAAAAGAACCUGAAACCGUGUACGUACAAGCAGUGGGAGCACCCUUUGGGUGUGACUGCGUACCUUUUGUAUAAUGGGUCAGCGACUUAUAUUCUGUAGCAAGGUUAACCGAAUAGGGGAGCCGGAGGGAAACCGAGUCUUAAUUGGGCGUUAAGUUGCAGGGUAUAGACCCGAAACCCGGUGAUCUAGCCAUGGGCAGGUUGAAGGUUGGGUAACACUAACUGGAGGACCGAACCGACUAAUGUUGAAAAAUUAGCGGAUGACCUGUGGCUGGGGGUGAAAGGCCAAUCAAACCGGGAGAUAGCUGGUUCUCCCCGAAAGCUAUUUAGGUAGCGCCUCGUGAAUUCAUCUCCGGGGGUAGAGCACUGUUUCGGCUAGGGGGCCAUCCCGGCUUACCAACCCGAUGCAAACUGCGAAUACCGGAGAAUGUUAUCACGGGAGACACACGGCGGGUGCUAACGUCCGUCGUGAAGAGGGAAACAACCCAGACCGCCAGCUAAGGUCCCAAAGUCAUGGUUAAGUGGGAAACGAUGUGGGAAGGCCCAGACAGCCAGGAUGUUGGCUUAGAAGCAGCCAUCAUUUAAAGAAAGCGUAAUAGCUCACUGGUCGAGUCGGCCUGCGCGGAAGAUGUAACGGGGCUAAACCAUGCACCGAAGCUGCGGCAGCGACACUGUGUGUUGUUGGGUAGGGGAGCGUUCUGUAAGCCUGUGAAGGUGUGUCGUGAGGCAUGCUGGAGGUAUCAGAAGUGCGAAUGCUGACAUAAGUAACGAUAAAGCGGGUGAAAAGCCCGCUCGCCGGAAGACCAAGGGUUCCUGUCCAACGUUAAUCGGGGCAGGGUGAGUCGACCCCUAAGGCGAGGCCGAAAGGCGUAGUCGAUGGGAAACGGGUUAAUAUUCCCGUACUUGGUGUUACUGCGAAGGGGGGACGGAGAAGGCUAUGUUGGCCGGGCGACGGUUGUCCCGGUUUAAGCGUGUAGGUGUGUGUUCCAGGUAAAUCCGGUUCACUUUAACACUGAGGCGUGACGACGAGGCACUACGGUGCUGAAGCAACAAAUGCCCUGCUUCCAGGAAAAGCCUCUAAGCAUCAGGUAACAUCAAAUCGUACCCCAAACCGACACAGGUGGUCAGGUAGAGAAUACCAAGGCGCUUGAGAGAACUCGGGUGAAGGAACUAGGCAAAAUGGUGCCGUAACUUCGGGAGAAGGCACGCUGACACGUAGGUGAAGUGAUUUACUCAUGGAGCUGAAGUCAGUCGAAGAUACCAGCUGGCUGCAACUGUUUAUUAAAAACACAGCACUGUGCAAACACGAAAGUGGACGUAUACGGUGUGACGCCUGCCCGGUGCCGGAAGGUUAAUUGAUGGGGUCAGCGCAAGCGAAGCUCCUGAUCGAAGCCCCGGUAAACGGCGGCCGUAACUAUAACGGUCCUAAGGUAGCGAAAUUCCUUGUCGGGUAAGUUCCGACCUGCACGAAUGGCGUAAUGAUGGCCAGGCUGUCUCCACCCGAGACUCAGUGAAAUUGAACUCGCUGUGAAGAUGCAGUGUACCCGCGGCAAGACGGAAAGACCCCGUGAACCUUUACUAUAGCUUGACACUGAACAUUGAGCCUUGAUGUGUAGGAUAGGUGGGAGGCUUUGAAGUGUGGACGCCAGUCUGCAUGGAGCCGACCUUGAAAUACCACCCUUUAAUGUUUGAUGUUCUAACGUGGACCCGUUACCCGGGUUGCGGACAGUGUCUGGUGGGUAGUUUGACUGGGGCGGUCUCCUCCUAAAGAGUAACGGAGGAGCACGAAGGUUGGCUAAUCCUGGUCGGACAUCAGGAGGUUAGUGCAAUGGCAUAAGCCAGCUUGACUGCGAGCGUGACGGCGCGAGCAGGUGCGAAAGCAGGUCAUAGUGAUCCGGUGGUUCUGAAUGGAAGGGCCAUCGCUCAACGGAUAAAAGGUACUCCGGGGAUAACAGGCUGAUACCGCCCAAGAGUUCAUAUCGACGGCGGUGUUUGGCACCUCGAUGUCGGCUCAUCACAUCCUGGGGCUGAAGUAGGUCCCAAGGGUAUGGCUGUUCGCCAUUUAAAGUGGUACGCGAGCUGGGUUUAGAACGUCGUGAGACAGUUCGGUCCCUAUCUGCCGUGGGCGCUGGAGAACUGAGGGGGGCUGCUCCUAGUACGAGAGGACCGGAGUGGACGCAUCACUGGUGUUCGGGUUGUCAUGCCAAUGGCACUGCCCGGUAGCUAAAUGCGGAAGAGAUAAGUGCUGAAAGCAUCUAAGCACGAAACUUGCCCCGAGAUGAGUUCUCCCUGAGACUUAAAGUCUCCUGAAGGAACGUUGAAGACGACGACGUUGAUAGGCCGGGUGUG
rnacentral:rRNA from 1 species